CUGCAGUAGCCCCUACAAACAGGAGUGCGUUUCCUGGCACCUGAUUACACUCCGCCCACCCCCUGCCGCCCUUCCAAAAUGGAGUGGCCUCCACUGUCCCUAGGAGGCUGCAGUCGAGUUUCCUGGGCAGCACUUUCUCCAGGCGCUGGACAGCGGAAGCCACGGCCUCGCCCAGCCUGAGCCAUACCUGCACUGGAGGAAAACUGUCACUGGCGAGGAACAGUUUAUACACAUACAGGAAAUCGAAUUGUCGCAAAUAGAGAUUUCUGUUUCCGUUC